UCUCCGUAGGUGAACCUGCGGAGGGAUCAUUACAGAGUUCAUGCCCUACCGGGUAGAUCUCCCACCCUAUGUUAUUAUACUUUGUUGCUUUGGCGGGCCGUUAGGCUCCGGCCCGACUACCGGCCCCGGCUGGUAAGCGCCCGCCAGAGGACCCAAAACCCUGAAUAUUAGUGUCGUCUGAGCACUAUAUAAUAGUUAAAACUUUCAACAACGGAUCUCUUGGUUCUG
rnacentral:misc_RNA from 1 species